rnacentral:rRNA from 1 species
UACGUAGGGUGCAAGCGUUGUCCGGAAUUAUUGGGCGUAAAGAGCUCGUAGGCGGUCUGUCGCGUCUGCUGUGAAAACUCGGGGCUUAACCCCGGGCCUGCAGUGGGUACGGGCAGACUAGAGUGCGGUAGGGGAGACUGGAAUUCCUGGUGUAGCGGUGAAAUGCGCAGAUAUCAGGAGGAACACCGGUGGCGAAGGCGGUUCUCUGGGCCUGUACUGACGCUGAGGAACGAAAGCGUGGGGAGCGAACAGG